rnacentral:pre_miRNA from 1 species
UCACCUCUGCAGGGUGGCCAGCCUCCAGGCUGGGCUGGGCGAGCAUCUCUUCAAGAGACUCACCCUCAAUCAUGACUAGGAGC